ACGAAGACCCUACUUAGUAAAGGACUGUGUGUAAUCUGCACAUGCGCAUUAGCUCUAUUACCUAUUAGCGGAUUAAUAAGCUUUAAAACAAAGAGGUGAAGUUUCGUUCAAUUAGGCAUUAAAAUUGAUAUUUGAUUAUAAGUUAAAAUUAACAGAAAAUGUAAGUGUACAAAAAGUGACUGGUAAGUUAACAGCCUAAUUAGACUGUUAGAAGGUUAGCUUGUUAGCAUAAGCUAAACAUUAAUAAGUCAGAACAGAUAUUUUUCAUGGUUUCCAAAUAAUUAUAAGUCUUAAAGAGUCAUUAAAGUUUCAGUCUUUAAAUUUUCGCAUAGCGAAAUUAGACUAUUUUAAAAUCUCUCAACAUUAAAACGAAAUCCUUAAGUCGGGUUGUGGCGGAGUGUAGUUUUUUGACUGCACUAAUAGUUCGUAAACGCCACACAGGAAGUAGGAAAAGAACUACAUUUCCCAUCUGCCCCGGCCGUCACAGGCUAAUAGCACCAGCUGCUUUCCAUUACCCUAAUGAGGGCUUCAACUGCUGCAACGAGACCAAAUACAACGAAAUGCCGUGGUGUCUCGGAGAAGAGGAAUAAUUUAUGUUGUGUUGUAUUUAUGUUUGAUUUCCGGUGGAAGAGAAGAACAUGGGGUAUCGAUGCUGCAAAAGAAGACGGAUCUUUUGGUAGGCUGGUUAACGAUGACCACAAGCACCCAAAUGGCAGAAGACUGAAGUGGAUGGAAGCCCACAUCUUUUGUCUGUUUGCUUUAACAGACUUUAAAGAAGGAGAUGAAAUUACCUACAAUUACGGAGGAACGGACUGGCCUUGGCGUAGCAAGCAGAUUAUGGAGGAGGACACUGCUGAGAGCAAUGGCCAGGAGAAACGGCAGCCAUCACAGUCUACACCUUUUCUGGAUCAGAACACUGCGAGCGGUCCAUCAGCGACUGAACAGUUCUUUUUGCAGAGGAGAUGGAGCUAAUCAGCGAUGAAAUAAUGAGUGAGGAAGGUGAGACGUGAAGAACUUGAAGGUAAAACAUCUACUCUGUAAAAGAGGAAGGCUUGGGAAGUAAAUGAGGUCCAUGCAGUGGAGAGACGUAUGAAGACCUUCAUCUUGUCAUGUCGUGUCCCAGGUGAGCUGGCCUGUGAAAACUGCAUUAGAUCUGAGCCUUUAGCUCUGAAAGAAAGUACUGUGUCCAGUAAGCCCACCACUCCAUCCACUCCGGCCAUGUGCAAAUUCAGACCAUCGUUUGGCACAAUGCCUAAAGUGCACUACCACGCCACGGGAGAGAAGGUCUCGAUGUCUGAGGACUCCAAAUCGACAGCCAUCUUGGAAGAGCGAGCUCACGACUAUCGCUCCGAUUUCCAGGAUUACGGCGGUGCAGAAGUUCCUCCCCUUCAUCGCCACUUCAUGUCGUCUCCGUUCCAGCUCGACUCGUACAUCCUGAAACACGCCGGCCGUAGGGAGGAACCCGCGAAGCUAGGGGGAGUCAAACCUGAGUCGGUGAUGUCCACGCCUCACAGGGGCGUGUUUGCCCCGGGACAAUGUCCCGCCGUAACGCCAGUCUGUCCUACGACAGCUUAUUAACACCAAACAUUGCCAUGGCGACCUCUGUGCUAUGAUAACCUCUCCAAAACCAUCAUGGCGUCCAUCCAGGAGUGGAAAGAGCUGGAGGAGAGGGAGAGGCUCAUUCGGGCGUCUUUGACGGACAUUUUCUCGCCUCCAGAGGGUCUCGGGACGAACUCACCAGGGUCGGGGUGAUGUCCUUCGGUCCUCGCGUCCUCCACUCCUCGGCGUCGUCGCUGGUCUGAGUUCCCUGAGUGUCCACUUCCUCUCUACACGACGAGGCGGGAAACGUCCUUUAUCGCUCGCCGUCCCAUCAGCCUCCCCUCUCCAUCCACGUUCUCCCUCCGUCUCUCAUCACAAACGGUCCUACAUCAGCGCCGUGUAGAGAGCCGAAUCACCUCACCUGGGCCGCAGGGAGGAAACGAAUCGAGCGAAAGUUAACGGACAGCCUAAAGGGCAGACGCGAGACUGCCACCCAGUGUCGUCCUCCGGAACACCGCUCAGCCCGAGCGUCAAAAAGGUGACAGGAGUGGGUGGGACAAUGUACGAUACCAGGAAUAGCCAAUCCAUUCGCGAGGAAGUACUGCCAUAGCGACCGACACUACCACCAGUGGCCGAGCCUCUCUUUCAGGACACCAAAGCCUACCAAUCGGAGCCAAUCAGGUGCGGACGGGCCAAUCAGAGCAGGUCUUACACCAUUCUGGUCCAAUCAGAGGAGGUCUCUCAAUGUCUCCGGGUGCUUUCAGUUGGUGAUCACCGCAUCUCGGGCGGGGCUAAGCCAUUUCCUUUGUGUGUGUGUGUGUGUGUGUGUGUGUGUGUGUGUGUGUGUGUGUGUGUGUGUGUGUUUCAAAUCAGGAGUUUUCAUGGAUCCCUUUAUUCCUGGAGAAAAUUGGUUUAAAAAGGUAAAAAGGAAAACAAUCCCCUCUGAAAGGGCUGAAGUGUCCGUUAACUGUGUGAAUGAAAAUAAUCAGUAGAAUUAAAAUGUUGAAGUUUCCUUG